AAGGAGUGAGACUGACCCAAUGGGUGGUCCUUUGAUUUUGUCUAACUGGAUAGUGGAUCGCUCUAAAGGCUAAGUUUAGCUGCCCACGUCAAAUUACUCUACCAGCAACUUUCGAGAAAAGAUGGUCCAAGCUGAAGAGCAGCUUCAGUUGGUUCAAGUAUUACUUGAGGAUGACCCAUGGACACGUUGUAGUUAAUACUGAGCUCACCACAUGAUAGAAUCCCUACACUGUGGAAUCAAGCCAUUCGGCCCAUCGAGUCUACACUGACCUCUGAAGUAUAUCUCA